CUGUUGUUGUAUUUCUGUUUGAAUGAAAUAAGUAAGUAAAGUCAACAAAUAAUGAAAUAAAUGUAAUGAAAUUAGAAUAUCACAUGUAAAGCAGAGAUGAUUUCCAGCUGUGUUUUCACUUUGCAGAUAUACAGUAAUAACAAUCAUCAGACUAUUAGUCUCCAGUUAGACCAACAUUAAUGCUUCAUGUGUUUGAGUCUAUGCAAACUCAGUGAUCCUCCUUGUUUCUCAGAUAUAAAAACUUCACAUCAGACUGUCAGUGGAGAUCACAGCACGUCAGUUUCACCAUAAACCAUGUUCUCUGUAGCUCUGCUGCUGCUGUUGGCAGCUGGAUCCUGUGUGAAGUGUGAACAGUUGACACAGCCAGCCUCAGUGACUGUGCAGCCAGGUCAACGUCUGACCAUCACCUGUCAGGUCUCUUAUUCUGUUAGCAGCUAUUACACAGCUUGGAUCAGACAGCCUGCAGGGAAAGGACUGGAGUGGAUUGGAAUGAGAGCUGGAUCCACCACAUACUACAAGGAUUCACUAAAGAACAAGUUCAGUAUCGACUUGGACUUUUCCAGCAACACAGUGACUCUAAACGGACAGAAUGUGCAGCCUGAAGACACUGCUGUGUAUUACUGUGCCAGAUACCCACAAUAA